GGUCUGAUAGCCGAGCGGGCUAAGGCACCAGUCCUUUUUGUUGGUGCUGGGUUCGAAUCCCAUCAGUUUC
rnacentral:tRNA from 1 species